rnacentral:rRNA from 1 species
ACGCUCGACACCUACGGGGAGGGAGCGGUGGGGAAUAUUGCACAAUGGGGGAAACCCUGAUGCAGCGACGCCGCGUGAGCGAAGAAGUAUUUCGGUAUGUAAAGCUCUAUCAGCAGGGAAGAAACUGACGGUACCUGACUAAGAAGCACCGGCUAACUACGUCNCANCACGCCGGACGUAUCNGNGGCGGCGUGGAACGAGGC